ACGGGUGAGUAACACGUAGGUAACCUGCCUAUGAGACUGGGAUAACUAUCGGAAACGAUAGCUAAGACCGGAUAACUGGUUUUCUCGCAUGAGAGAAUCAUGAAACACGGAGCAAUCUGUGGCUUAUAGAUGGGCCUGCGGCGCAUUAGCUAGUUGGUAGGGUAAUGGCCUACCAAGGCGACGAUGCGUAGCCGACCUGAGAGGGUGACCGGCCACACUGGGACUGAGACACGGCCCAGACUCCUACGGGAGGCAGCAGUAGGGAAUCUUCCGCAAUGGACGCAAGUCUGACGGAGCAACGCCGCGUGAGUGAUGAAGGUUUUCGGAUCGUAAAGCUCUGUUGCCCUAGACGAACAGCAUGAGGAGUAACUGCCUUAUGUGUGACGGUAUAGGAGAAGAAAGCCCCGGCUAACUACGUGCCAGCAGCCGCGGUAAUACGUAGGGGGCAAGCGUUGUCCGGAAUUAUUGGGCGUAAAGCGCGCGCAGGCGGUCAAUUAAGUUGGGUGUUUAAGCCCGGGGCUCAACCCCGGUUCGCAUCCAAAACUGGUUGACUUGAGUGUAGGAGAGGAAAGUGGAAUUCCACGUGUAGCG
rnacentral:rRNA from 1 species